rnacentral:rRNA from 1 species
AGAGUUUGAUCCUGGCUCAGAACGAACGCUGGCGGCAUGCCUAACACAUGCAAGUCGAACGAGACCUUCGGGUCUAGUGGCGCACGGGUGCGUAACGCGUGGGAACCUGCCUUUAGGUUCGGAAUAACUUCCCGAAAGGGAUGCUAAUACCGAAUAAUGUCUUCGGACCAAAGAUUUAUCGCCCUUAGAUGGGCCCGCGUUGGAUUAGCUAGUUGGUGGGGUAAAGGCCUACCAAGGCGACGAUCCAUAGCUGGUCUUAGAGGAUGAUCAGCCACACUGGGACUGAGACACGGCCCAGACUCCUACGGGAGGCAGCAGUGGGGAAUAUUGGACAAUGGGCGAAAGCCUGAUCCAGCAAUGCCGCGUGAGUGAUGAAGGCCCUAGGGUUGUAAAGCUCUUUUACCCGGGAUGAUAAUGACAGUACCGGGAGAAUAAGCUCCGGCUAACUCCGUGCCAGCAGCCGCGGUAAUAC